rnacentral:tRNA from 1 species
GAGGGUGUAGCUCAGGGGUAGAGCGCGUGUUUAGCACACACGAGGUCCUGGUUCCACCCCAGUGUCUCUUCU